CAUUCAGACAAAGGGCCUCUGCCAGGUGACUGGAUCAUAGUGGUGCUAUACUUCUCUGUGAGUCACCCAUUUGUGAGUUCAGCUCCAUGUGCUGCUGGGGGAUGGAGCCUGGUUGGAGGUGGUCCCUGGGAGCUGACCUGGAAGGGUGAGCCCUUCGAUAGCCUGGGCCCUUCCUCCAGUGUGAGUCCUGAAGAAGGAGAUGGAUUCCACAUGAGAAGAGUUCUUCACAGCUGGCUCUGCAGAUGGAGGGAAAUCUGAAGCAAGGAAUGGCAGCACCCUGGACCGCAGUCCUACAGCCACAGCAGGAGGAAUGACAAAGGUGACAGCCCUUCAGGAAAAAGAAAGCCUGAACCUCGGGAUGUGUGGAGGGCCCUGAUGCCUCUCAGAUGACACAGGAAGACGACACAGGACAGGAGCUUGCAGAUAGGCACAAGAAGUAUCUUCAGACUUUACCAGGAGCUUGCAGAGAUUGCCUUACAUCUAGGAGGAGACUUGGGACUCAAACAUUUUAGCAGAAGACACAGAAACAACCCAUGCACCCACAGCCGUCUGACUCUUGACAAAGAAGCCAACAGCCUACACUGGAGAAAAGACAGCCUGUUUAACAAAUGGUGCUAGGAAAACUGGGUAUCUAUUUGCCUAAAAUUAAAACUAGACUCCUAUCUCUCACCUUUCACUAAAAUCAAAUCAAAAUUAUUAAAGACCUAGAUACAGAAACUCUGAAACUGCCUAAAAUAACACAGGAGAAACUCUUGAGGCCGCAGGAAAAGUCAGACUUUCUAAACAGAACUCUAGGUGCACAGAAAAUAAUGUCAAGAAUCAACAAAUAGUAUUCCACCCAUCAAAUUAAAAAGCUUUUACACAGUAAGGGACACAACAGGGUAAAGAGACAACUUACGGAAUGGGAGAACAGUUUUGCUAGCUAAUCUUCUGAUA